rnacentral:misc_RNA from 1 species
UAGAGUUAUAAAAACUCCAACCCUGUGUGAACUGAAGCCUGGUUGCUCUGGCAGGCGGGCCCUGGGAGGGUCCGCAGCUUCUACGAGGCGCCUGCCGGAGGAUACCUAAACUCGUUUUUAUUAUUGUAUCUGAGUACCCAAAAAAUGAAUUA